UUAGCCUUUCCAGAUAACGCCAUCUUUGCCAAGAACGAUAACUCUAAUCUAUUGCAGAACUGUUCGGAGUCGGCCAUGUUGACUUCAUAUGGCUCGGAGUAAACAAAUUUCACCAGUUAUAUUGGGAUGCUUUAUGAAGUGUAAAUAAACUUUCCUGGAUAAUCAAGAUUUCAGUGAUUACCUAGCCAGAGACUGUGUGUAAAUAUUCUUUCGCUUGUUUGUUUAUUCCUGUACAUACCCCUUGUUGGAAAACUCAAGGAUUCAUAUUUGGUUUUUCUUCAUUGAGGAUUUUUCCUAAAGACAUUGAAAAAAAAAGAAAAGAAAAGAAAAAAAACAAAAAAAAAAAAGAUUUAUUCAGUUGAGCUUUUAAGGUGCAGUAUUGGCUGGAUGGUUGUGAGAAGGACGAUGAUGUUUAUGAAUUAACAGAACAGGAAUUUUAUACAGAUUUGAAGGACGGAAAUUUGUUUAUCCUUAACAGUACACAGUUGGAUCAUUGCUACACAAAUUCUUGAAAAAGACUAUAAGGUUUAUUGAUUUUUUAGAGUUAUCUUUCAUAAAAAUGAAUUAUCUUUCUUUGAAAUUACAGUCUUAUAUUUGUAAUUGGAUUACCUCCCUCUUUGAACAACUGUUUCAUUAAAAGAAUAAAAUGUA